GAACUCAAAUUAUACCUGAAUACCCCCUGGAUUUAAACCUUUUAAUUAACCGAGGAAAAAAAACCUACCCGG
rnacentral:rRNA from 1 species